AUGAGCCCGCGUACCAUUAGCUUGUUGGUGGGGUAAAGGCCCACCAAGGCGACGAUGGUUAGCUGGUCUGAGAGGAUGAUCAGCCACACUGGAACUGGAACACGGUCCAGACUCCUACGGGAGGCAGCAGUGAGGAAUUUUGCGCAAUGGGGGUAACCCUGACGCAGCAACGCCGCGUGAGUGAUGAAGGCCUUCGGGUCGUAAAGCUCUGUCAAGUGGGAAGAACCCAUUCCGGCACAACAAGCCGGGGUGCUGACGGUACCACUGAAGGAAGCACCGGCUAACUCCGUGCCAGCAGCCGCGGUAAUACGGAGGGUGCGAGCGUUAUUCGGAAUUACUGGGCGUAAAGGGCGCGUAGGCGGCCGAUUAAGUCAGAUGUGAAAUCCCGGGGCUUACCCCCGGAAGUGCAUUUGAUACUGAACGGCUUGAGUAUGGGAGAGGGAAGUGGAAUUCCUGGUGUAGCGGUGAAAUGCGUAGAUAUCAGGAGGAACACCGGUGGCGAAGGCGACUUCCUGGACCAAUACUGACGCUGAGGCGCGAAGGCGUGGGGAGCAAACAGGAUUAGAUACCCUGGUAGUCCACGCAGUAAACGGUGAUCACUAGGUGUAGCGGGUAUUGACCCCUGCUGUGCCGGAGUUAACGCAUUAAGUGAUC
rnacentral:rRNA from 1 species